rnacentral:tRNA from 1 species
AUUUAUAUAUUAUAAUUAUUAAAUUUGACUUCCAAUCAAAAAAUCUAUGACAAGUAGUAUAAAUA